rnacentral:lncRNA from 1 species
AUGGACUACGACAUUAUUCCCACAGGCAUUCCCUCAGCUGUUCCCACAGGUAUUCCCACAGGUAUGCUCACAGGUAUCCUCACAGGUAUGCUCACAGCUAUUCCAACAGAUAUUCCCACAGGUAUUCUCACAGGUAUUCCCACAGGUAUGCUCACAGGUAAUCCUCACAGGUAUUCCACAGGUAUCCUCACAGGUAUUCCACAGGUAUUCUCACAGU